GACGAACGCUGGCGGCGUGCUUAACACAUGCAAGUCGAACGCGCCUGUCCUCUGGGUUUCUGGGGGGUGGGUGAGUGGCGAACGGGUGAGUAACACGUGAGUAACCUGCCCCCUUCUUCGGGAUAACGGUCUGAAAGGGCUGCUAAUACCGGGUAUUCACUGGUCUCCGCAUGGGGUCUGGUGGAAAGGUUUUUUUCUGGUGGGGGAUGGGCUCGCGGCCUAUCAGCUUGUUGGUGGGGUGAUGGCCCACCAAGGCUUUGACGGGUAGCCGGCCUGAGAGGCUGACCGGUCACAUUGGGACUGCGAUACGGCCCAGACUCCUACGGGAGGCAGCAGUGGGGAAUAUUGCACAAUGGGCGCAAGCCUGAUGCAGCGACGCUGCGUGAGGGAUGGAGGCCUUCGGGUUGUGAACCUCUUUCGCCCGUGGUCAAGCCGCGACGUGGGUCGUGGUGAGGGUAGUGGGUAAAGAAGCGCCGGCUAACUACGUG
rnacentral:rRNA from 1 species